AGCACGCGUCACACGCGCCUCUUCCUCUUCCGACUCGCUUUCUCAGAGGAUGGAGGUGAGUGCAACACAAUCCUGUAACAUCGAAGAUCGUAUGCGGUGUUUUAACAGCUAGGUUUCAUAAGAAGUUUGUUUGGGUGUUACAGCACUAGAUCGUUAGUGACUCUCGGGCGUCCAGCGCAGGAUGAGUGUUUACGGAGGUCAGAAGUAAGCGGGUGCAGUGUGUAACCGCGGUCGGCCUUCCAGUCUUUAAAUAUUAAAAAUGACUUUUGCAAACAGUUAUAAGGUUCUGAAUGCACUCUUGGGUUUGUGAGUGCAACAUUGUUUGCAGAGUAGUGUCCAAAAUCGACGCUAUUUUAGUCCAUGUAAAUUUUUUUUUUGCAUUGGUUGUUCAAGGGGUCUAGAUUGAGUUUGUAUAUAAUGUGGAAAUAGGCUAGAUGUACCAAAAUGCCAAGUCUAGCCUUGGAUACAAUAUGUAGUCAGUUGUGCCUCAUUUUUAUUUUUUAUAUAUGCCAUUGCUGGUUACAGAUGUAAGGCUAUUUCUGGUGUGAAUCCGUGGAUGUCUCCCUGAUCUCCUCAUGUUUCUUCCUGCUCUCCAGGUGCUUGCCGGAGUGAAUACUGGGUCACCACGUGGCUCCGCCGCCUCACUAGUGCAGAGGUCGGAUGAUGCCAAAUGAGACGUCCCAUCAUCAAAAUACUGCUCGAGAUGUCCCAAGUGAGCCUUCUCUAAGAGGUUCAGCAUCUGUAGUGGGGUUUUCACGGUUCCUGAGACUGCUCCAGGUUCUCCGACAGCGUGCUGAAUCAACGGGCAGACUUGCAGGUCUUCAGCAGCUCCUGACCAGCAAGUGGAAGUUGUAAAAUGAGUGACGCAAGUUCAACCUAAUAUGAAAGUGUGGAUUGGUCUUUCAUAUCCUGUUCAUGGUCCUUUGUUUGUUGGAUCAACUCUGUAAAAUAAAGACUUGCUACCAGAAUUUGCAUUGUUGCUUUUUAAUGUCUCUUUAAACUCUUACCGGUUAUG
rnacentral:lncRNA from 1 species